GGAGGCGGAUGGGUGCUGGUGUGCCUGACGGGCUUCAAACCCGGAUAUCCUUCGAAAGGGGGAUGGUAGGUUCGAUUCCUACACGCCUCC
rnacentral:tRNA from 1 species